AGAGUUUGAUCCUGGCUCAGAACGAACGCUGGCGGCAGGCUUAACACAUGCAAGUCGAACGCAUCCUUCGGGGUGAGUGGCAGACGGGUGAGUAACGCGUGGGAACGUGCCCUUCAGUUCGGAAUAACCCAGGGAAACUUGGGCUAAUACCGGAUACGUGCGAGAGCAGAAAGAUUUAUCGCUGAAGGAUCGGCCCGCGUCUGAUUAGCUAGUUGGUGAGGUAAUGGCUCACCAAGGCGACGAUCAGUAGCUGGUCUGAGAGGAUGAUCAGCCACAUUGGGACUGAGACACGGCCCAAACUCCUACGGGAGGCAGCAGUGGGGAAUAUUGGACAAUGGGCGCAAGCCUGAUCCAGCCAUGCCGCGUGAGUGAUGAAGGCCUUAGGGUUGUAAAGCUCUUUCGUCCGGGACGAUAAUGACGGUACCGGAAGAAGAAGCCCCGGCUACUUCGUGCCAGCAGCCGCGGUAAUACGAAGGGGGCUAGCGUUGUUCGGAAUCACUGGGCGUAAAGGGCGCGUAGGCGGCUUGAUAAGUCGGGGGUGAAAGCCUGUGGCUCAACCACAGAAUUGCCUUCGAUACUGUCUGGCUUGAGACCGGAAGAGGUAAGUGGAACUGCGAGUGUAGAGGUGAAAUUCGUAGAUAUUCGCAAGAACACCAGUGGCGAAGGCGGCUUACUGGUCCGGUUCUGACACUGAGGCACGAAAGCGUGGGGAUCAAACAGGAUUAGAUACCCUCGUAGUCC
rnacentral:rRNA from 1 species